AGGGUUUGAUUAUGGCUCAGGAUGAACGCUGGCGGCGUGCUUAACACAUGCAAGUCGAGCGAAGCACUUUGGAAAGAUUCUUCGGAUGAUUUCCUUUGUGACUGAGCGGCGGACGGGUGAGUAACGCGUGGGUAACCUGCCUCAUACAGGGGGAUAACAGUUAGAAAUGACUGCUAAUACCGCAUAAGACCACGGUACCGCAUGGUACAGUGGUAAAAACUCCGGUGGUAUGAGAUGGACCCGCGUCUGAUUAGGUAGUUGGUGGGGUAACGGCCUACCAAGCCGACGAUCAGUAGCCGACCUGAGAGGGUGACCGGCCACAUUGGGACUGAGACACGGCCCAG
rnacentral:rRNA from 1 species